GAUGAACGCUGGCGGCGUGCUUAACACAUGCAAGUCGAACGAGAAGUGGAGACGGAAACCUUCGGGCGGAAGACUUUAUUUCGAGUGGCGGACGGGUGAGUAACGCGUGGGUAACCUGCCUCAUACAGGGGGAUAACAGUUGGAAACGACUAUUAAUACCGCAUAAGACCACAGCACCGCAUGGUGCGGGGGUAAAAACUCCGGUGGUAUGAGAUGGACCCGCGUUCGAUUAGCCAGUUGGCGGGGUAACGGCCCACCAAAGCGACGAUCGAUAGCCGAUCUGAGAGGAUGACCGGCCACAUUGGGACUGAGACGCGGCCCAAACUCCUACGGGAGGCAGCAGUGGGGAAUAUUGCACAAUGGGGGAAACCCUGAUGCAGCGACGCCGCGUGAGUGAAGAAGUAUUUCGGUAUGUAAAGCUCUAUCAGCAGGGAAGAAAAUGACGGUACCUGAGUAAGAAGCCCCGGCUAACUACGUG
rnacentral:rRNA from 1 species